UAGGCGCAGGUUCAGCCACGGGGGCCACCACGAUUAUCUGGGGGGCUGGGGAAACCAUCUCCUGGAGAGUUUGGACGAUGUGAGAAGGCACUGUGAUUUUCACCAAGUCAAAACCACUCACAAUCCCCUGCGCCCCCGCCCCCGAUCACCCCCAGCAGUCCCGGCCGCCUGCCUGCGUUUCGCGGAGAGGAAGGGGCCGCGGGCGGCGGAAGCCCCAGCGCCGGCUAGCCCCCUUGCUCCGCCAUCAAUCACUGCGCCCGCGCUGGCGCGCGCUGCCCCAAGCGCUAAGCUCGGCUGGCUGGCUGGAGGCGCCGCGCCGCCUAACCCGGAGCGCCUCUCUGCGUCCCACCGACUCCAGAUUCUGCCCGCACUGCCUCGGGGCAGCCAAGCCGCUCGGCCCACAAUUGUGGUCUUUUGCUAAAAGUAAACGAAAGUGGCGUCGGUUUCGGAGCGCCAAAUCGAAGGGAGUGCGGCCGACGAGCGGGUAACCCGCAGCUGGGUCCUGCGCUCCUCGCUGGCCUCCGGGGCGGCCGUUGAAAACUAGCUCCUUCCUACCCGUUUGAUCAGAACGGCAGCGGGUGCGGGCAGGAACCAGGCUGGGGUCGCAGAGGCGGCAGGACCCGGGCCGCUGAGAAGCUCACCGCGAAGUUGAAGGCAGCGUCUGCAGGCGCAGGAAGAGCCGAGGCAGCGGGCGGGCGGGCGAGCGCUCUGUGGCGGACAGUGGACGCUGCUGAAGAAGUGGCCAGCUACCUGGAGGAGCCACUGUUCAUGCUCAGGGAUGCAUGUCUGGAUGUUGCAAGGUAGGAAGAAGACCGAGGUCACCUUGGGUGGCCACUGUGGAUCCACCAAGGCACAGGGAACCAUGCCAGUGCAGGCAAGGACAAGGCACACAUUCUUCAUUUCCCUUGGGUCGGCCUGUGGAGGCCUCACCUGGUCUUCUUUAAUCAAAAGUGGGCUGAUGGGACAAGCAGGAAGGAAGGUGGAGUAGGUCCGGGUCACCCUGGAUUCAAUAAGUGGGCCAUCCAUGCCCCCAACUAGCACCAGUGCUGGGUUCUCUCCCUUUUCCUCUACCCUCUAUUUCCCUCUUCUUUCCGCACCCCUAUGGAAGGAAGGAUCCUACCAACAGCCUGGGGAUUGGGGCUGGGGUAUCCAUCUGCAGGAGCUUGACUGGCAGGAACUUCUGCUCCCAAGUACCCGCCUCUCACCCCACCCAUCCCCUGGCACUGUGGCAGCAGGAUCCCCUCUUUGGACUGGAAACCCCAAAUUCCAAAACAAAUAAACACUUGCUCCAAACAUCAGACUCAUUCCCACUGAGCCCGGCCUGCGGCCCUGGCCUGUGGUUCUGAUGUCUCCCCCAGCCCUCAGCAAGCCCUCCCCAGCACCCCAUACUCAUCAAACCUCCCAGGUGCCCACUGUCCGUGGAGCCCAGCCCAGGAUUUACACAUCCACCUCUGUCCUCUUGUUAGGGAGGGGGGUCCUCUCUCACACCCAGCAGGUUGCUUGUGGCCAAGUGCACAAAGAAGACUUCUCCCCUGGACUCAACACACACAGCUCAGUGUCAUCCUAAAAACCAGAGGCCUGCAUCCGGAACCAGAACCCCUCAUGUGACAACGGGUGGCCCAAACUACCUCCUGCUGAAGCUGUAAGUAGGUAGGGGUGUAGGGGUCAGGGUGGAGUUCCUCUGGGGAGGGGGAGCAGGGGACACACUCGGGACCUAUGCUACUCACUACAUUGUUUUAUUUAGUAUCUGAACUUUAAUAAAAGUUCUUAACUUCUCUGUGGGAUGGGCACAGAGGCAUGGAAAAGGAUGGCCCAUGUAGCCCAUCCUGGAAGCGGCCUGUGACACCAGCUGUCAGGCGUGAACACAGCCCUGCUUGGCCCCACCUCCCUGUGCUCCCUAGGACCCAGAGCCCCUCUCCCCCUGACCCCAGUACCUGACUGAACCGGCGUGGCCAACCACUGGACUUGCUCGAAGUUGCCUGGAUGGACGCAGAAGCAGCUCUAGCCCGGUUCUUUCUAGCUACCUCUCACCCCCACCCCACCCCCACAUACAGGAAGCCCCAUUGACUUCCAGAAGACAAUGGAAUAGUGAUACCAUCAUUUGGGGCACUCAGAGUGCCUCUUUGGUCAUUAUCUCCUGCUGGUCACAGGUCAGUCAGGAUGCCUGAGUCUGUCACCCACUUUGGCACAGGGAGACACUGAAAGCUCAAGCCCCCUUAUGUCCCCAUGCUGGGGAUGAACUCAGCUGUGCUUAAGUUCCCCACUUCUGCCCAUCUGACGAUGCUUCCCUGUCUUCCUCCCUCUGUCCUUUUCUCCGGCCUCAAAUCCUGACCUCACCAGACGCCCCUGCCUUCCCCCUUGGGCUGCCUGCUCUUUCCCUCUACCGUCAUCUGCCCACGACAAAGAAGCAAACUCUUCUUCCUCUCCCAGGAAUUCCCUCCAAGAACCUCCAUGCUACAGAGACAGACCGCAAGGACCCUUCUCUGCCCACACCUGAGCCCCAGGGAGGGAAGCACCUGGAUUCCAGACACCAGCUGUGCCACUGAAAAUACCCCCAGCCAUGGCUGGCUCCUUGUAAAAUGGGAAGGUGGCUUCAAAGGUGUGCCUUGUCGGGGUCUGAACUGUGAAGGAGUCCAGGAUGCAGGAAGAACCACAUUAGUGCUCCUCUCUGUGCUGUCUAGAUGCUGACACUCACCUUCCUGGGGCCUGGGCCGGCUGCUGGCCUCAGUUCUGGAUGCUUGGUGAUCGCCUGGUCCACGCACCACCUUCUUGAGGCUGGGCAGCUCUUUGGCAGCGCUGGUCUGCUGCAGCUCAGGCUGGGGGUGCGGGCUGGGCCAGAGUCUGAGCCACAGAAGGUGCCACGUCCUGGAACUGGGGACUGGGCUCCGUUUCCUUUAAGAGCUCAGCAGUGACUUUCAGCCCUUAGAGAAUAGCAAAGGGAUGUUCUUGAGAUCAUGCUUGUCUUUUUUUUUAAAGGAGCCUUACUCCAGCUCGAGCCCUGGUGCUCCCCCUCCCCUUGCUGCUGGGUGGAAGGCUUGUGGCCAUGCCAGGCCACGGGCACCAUCUCUUCCUCUUAUUCCUUCAGCUGCCUGGUAUCAAAGUAAGAGAGAAACUCACUUCGCCACAUCUGACAGUUGUGGAUGGAGAAGCAGGAGGCUAUUUUGUUGCAGGGUUUCCCUCUUCCUAGUGGGAAACAGCUGUCCACUCCUGCUGGGAAGAGCAGCCCUACCCUCAUCUCUUGGCCCUGCCAUCUUGCUUGGCGGAUUAGUAAAAGAAAAUCUGGUUUACUUACAA